rnacentral:lncRNA from 1 species
CUGCAAUCCCAUGACGAUGCCUAGAAUCACAGAUGUUUGGUCUGGCUUUCUGUUUCACCUCUCCUAUAUGGCAGCUCAUUGUUGGACCUCCUUUUCUUCUUCCUGUCUGCAUAGGAAAAGAAUGUCCCCCUCGCUAUAAAUGAAACAGAGAAGACCAAGAUGAAGAGGAAGAUGAGCGCAGUGCAGCAUGCCGAGGCACCGGGGACUCAGCAGGGACUCAGGAGAAGAGAGACCCUGUGGAAACAGGACGAGCUGUCCUAUGAGAGGUCUCCGGAGGGGACCCACCUGUGUGCACCUGAAGAAUCAGCUGACCAAAUUGCAUUUAUUGAGGGAAAGCGUGUGGGUUUCUGUCCACCAUGACACUGCCUCAGCUAUUUUCAGAGGUGAUUUGUUUUGCUGGUAUUUUAUUGUGGUUUUAAAUGAAGAUACUUUUGUCUUUCUCUGUUUAUAUGAAUGGCUGAGCAGGCAGUAUUGUUCAGAGAGGAAAUCUCUUGUAUUGGAGGUCGUGAAUGUUCCAGGGCUAUAAAUACAACGAGAAUGUGUGAAGUCUGUGACUUCAGGAAUUCCAAUAAAAUGAAGAGAGGAAAAUUGCACAGUGUUUACACUCUUAUGACUCCCAAUGCAAGAUGGGCCAAGAGCAAAGUUGGAGACCAACGAAGCAGGGAGAAUGACUAAGGCCAGCCUCCCCGCCUGCUCCCUGGCAGUGGGGCUCCUGAGGCGCCUCCCUCCACUCACCACUUGACUGCAAGAAACAAAACAACGCAUGAAAUGUACAAGUCACCAGGCAGCCAUGAGGAGCGGGGCCACUUCUUGGCUCGCUGGUGGCCCCUGGCAGGAAGCUCUGGAACUAACAGGGGACAGAUUUUUGUCCCAAAGGAGGGAGGUUGUCAGGGAGUAAUUGGAGGACUUAGGCACCUGCUGGAGUGAGAUUUGGGUCCUGCAGGUCUGUGGCACCCUGAGGCCCCUCUGGAUGGGUCACUAGGUGUAUGUUGAUGUCCUGCUGGUUCUUCCUGUCCGUGCCACUGCCUGAAAGGAGAACACUGCAGCUGGCAGGUGGAUGCCCACCCCCUGUGCCCUGCUUGGCUGGCAGGGACUGGAGCUGCCAGACCAUGCAUCCCCCAGGGGGUGGGCCACCUGUCCAAGAUGGGAGAGGAGAGGUAGAGAACAUGGCCAUUUGUAACAUAGGCGGGGAUAGGAUACUGAAAUGUUCAAAUGGUAUAUCAAAAUAUAAGAAAUCUGAAAUCCCGCCACCAAGGAUAAUUUUCAAUUGUG